UGGGCGAAGCCUGACGCAGCGACGCCGCGUGGGGGACGAAGCCCUUCGGGGUGUAAACCCCUUUCGACCCGGACGAAGUCCCGCAAGGGAUCGACGGUACGGGAUGAAGAAGCCCCGGCUAACUACGUGCCAGCAGCCGCGGUAAGACGUAGGGGGCCAGCGUUGCUCGGAAUUACUGGGCGUAAAGAGUCUGUAGGCGGUGCGGCAAGUCGGGAGUGAAAUCUCGGGGCUUAACUCCGAGUCUGCUUCCGAAACUGCCGUGCUCGAGUGCGGGAGAGGUGAGUGGAAUUGCAGGUGUAGCGGUGAAAUGCGUAGAUAUCUGCAGGAACACCAGAGGCGAAGGCGGCUCACUGGACCGCAACUGACGCUGAGAGACGAAAGCUAGGGGAGCAAACAGGAUUAGAUACCCUGGUAGUCCUAGCCCUAAACCAUCAGGACUUGGCGUGGGUCCCGUUCGGGGCCCGUGUCGGAGCUAACGUGUGAAGUCCUGCGCCUGGGGAGUACGGUCGCAAGGCUGAAACUCAAAGAAAUUGACGGA
rnacentral:rRNA from 1 species